UGCUCACAUAUUUUGUGUGAGGCACAUCUAUCAGAACUUCAAGCAAAAGUGGUCUUCAUUGGACUUGUAAACCAUGUUGUGGAAGGCUGCUUCAACUGGGAAUAAAAAAGUUUGAGUCAUAUAUGCUUCAAAUACAGAUUCUUGAGAUAUCUGCAGCAGAGUACUUGAGAAAUAUACCCCCUUGUCAUUGGGUUAGAAGCCAUUUCUCAACAAAUUGCAAUACUGAUAUGUUAGUAAAUAAUUUGUUCGAGUCCUUCAACAACUACAUACUUGAAGCCAGGGAGAAGGCCAUCAUUAGCAUGUUUGAAUGGAUUAGGACCAAAUUGACCACUAAAAUUCAGAUAAAGAGAGCUGGAAUGGAGAAAUAUGAAGGAAAUUUUUUUCCAAACAUUUUAAAGAAAAUCAACAAGAGUAAAAAAAUAUCCAGAAACUGUUUUCCAAGGUUUUGUGGAAGACAAGAGUUUGAAGUUGAUUCAUUUCUAGAUAGAUAUGUUGUUGACUUGGGCAAUAAAACAUGUACAUGUGGUAUGUUUCAGCUAAAUGGUUAUCCAUGCCAUCAUGCAUGGGCAUGCAUUGCUGAAAGAAUCAAGGUAUAGGGUUGAAGAUUAUGUGGACUCUUAUUACAAAAAUGAAACAUAUUUGAAGGUUUAUAACUACAUGAUACAUGUUGUACCUGGACCCAAUGAUUAUAUCAAAAAAAUUUAUGAGCCACUUGGUGCUCCAAAGUACAAAAGGAAGGGUGGAAGACCAACAAAAUUGAGAAGGAAAAAACCAGAUGAGGUUCAUAGGACUUCUUACAGAAAGGUCUAACACAUACUUGUCAAAAUUGCCUAGAACGAGGCCAUAAUCGGGGAGCACGUAAAAAUCCAAAAGAUCCAAGGUCCAAGUUGUACAAGUUACAUGUAGUUAUCAUGGUUUUAUAUGCUUAUAAUUCUUACUGCAAGCUUUUAAUGUGUGUAUCUGUUUGUUUGUGAUAGGAAAAUCCUAGAAGAGAGGAAGUGAAAAAUUCUCAAAAUGCUCCUCCAUUUUCUAGUCAAACAACACCUUCUGCAUCUACUUCUGUUACACAUCAAACAAUACCUAGAUCUGUUGCAUAGUCAAGGAAAACUCCAUUUGUUACACAAUCAAGUGCAAGGGCGGGUCCAUUUGUUGCAAACUCAAAUGCAAGGACAAUACCAUCUAUUGCGGUCCAUCUGCUGCACCUCCACAAAAAAGGAAAGGUUACAAUUAAAGUUAAUUUUAUAAUUUUUUUAAAAUAAACUGCAACUCAUGUUCAUUUUAUUAUUGUUUUCCAACAUUAAUAUUACCUUACUGGUUAUUAUUUAGGUAUAUGUUGGAAGAAGAAAUGAAGUAUGGUUAGGAAAAUGUAAGAAGUUCAACAAACCAGGUCAAAACCACCAGCUCCCCCAUCAGCUCCAUCAACACCAAUGUUAUUAGAACCAGACUGGACCGGCCGGUCGAACCGGUUCAACCGGGAACCGGCGCCUAUCCGGUCUGGUUCAUCAUUAAAACCGGGGAAAUGAAAAACCGAGGUCAGAUGCCUGAACCGAAAAAAUCGCCCAAUUGGACCGGAAAAGAAAAAAAUCGGUGAAACGCUGGUUUUCACAAUAUAUGCUAUUUUAUCACCCCAAAUGGAAAAUAUCUGAUUUUUUUAAUAAAUGAAACUUACACACGAACUUACGCAGGUUAUGAAAUUAUGUGUAGAACUUGAAGAAUUUGAAUUUAUUUCCUUCUGGGGUUAAAGAGAACCUCAGAUCUAUAUCAAAGAGAUAUAUCCAAUUAAGAUUGUCGAUCAAAAGGCUGAAGCUUAGGGCCGCUAAGAUGUGGCUUUGUGG
rnacentral:lncRNA from 1 species